rnacentral:rRNA from 1 species
CCUACGGGAGGCAGCAGUGGGGAAUAUUGGGCAAUGGGCGCAAGCCUGACCCAGCAACGCCGCGUGAAGGAAGAAUGCUUUCGGGUUGUAAACUUCUUUUCUCAGGGACGAAGAAAGUGACGGUACCUGAGGAAUAAGCCACGGUUAACUACGUGCCAGCAGCCGCGGUACUACGUCGGUUGCAAGCGUUAUUCGGAUCUACUGGGUGUAAAGUGCGAGUAGGCGGGUCGGGAAGUCAGAUGUGAAAACCACGGGCUCAACCGGUGGACUGCAUUUGACACUGUAAGUCUAGAGUACAGGAGAGGCAGACGGAAUUCCUAGUGUAGCGGUGAAAUGCGUAGAUAUUAGGAAGAACACCAGUGGCGAAGGCGGUCUGCUAGACAGCAACUGACGCUGAGGCGCGAAAGCGUGGGGAGCAAACAGGAUUAGAUACCCUUGUAGUC